CCAUCGGCCUAGAUGUGUGGUAAGAACAAAACAUACAUGAUAGUGCAACACAGUGUUUCUCAUGCAUAUAUUUUACACACAUAUACAAAAAAAUCAUCCCAUUCAAAAACGUUCAGACCUUCACAAUUCUAGCUAUAUCCUGUACCGAAUGCAUGUCCUGAGAAAUUACAAGACAGAGAGAGAGAGGAGACAGAGAGAUAAAGAGGAUCUACCUUUUGUUGUACCCAUUCUGCUAGAAGCCCUGCCAUACGGAAGUGCCGCCCCUGGCAUCUCCAAAUCUCUAUUAUAUUCUGGUUUCUAGAUAUGGCUCAGGUAAGUCCAUUUAUGCCCGUCAGGAGUCUAAUCGCUUAGGAAAGUAAAAGCAUACUUCUCCUUAGCAAGACACAAGAUUUGAGGCAUCAUUCAUGCCCAAAGCAAAAGCAGUGCAGGAUAUGUUACAUGCCAAAGUUUAAUACUUUGCUACGCUAGGCUAACUUUCAUACCAAGCUUUUGCAAUUGGUAAUGGACAGAUUUUCAGUAUUAAGGUCAUAAUCGUAUAUAUUUUAAACUUUAGGGAGAUUAAAGGGGGAAUGAGGUGCACUAUUGUGUGUGUUUGUGGGACCAUGACACAUUUCUUCAUCCAUAUGCUAAUAUUAGUACGCUGUGUGUAAACCACUAUCCUUUGAUGCCUGGAGAUUUAGGUGGUAAAUCACUUGAGUCUUCUUAGCUCUAAUCCUCCCCACAUCUGUGCCCCUUUUCUCUUCCUCUUUACUGCCCUAAUUCCAGUAUGGCAUAGUUGGCCUCAUCCAUCCAACUCAGGAAACAUUUUGUUUGUCCACCCUUUUUCUCCCUUGUGGCCUAAUCCACUGCAGGUUUUUCCACAGGGCUUUCAGAGAGCUGAUGUCUCCUUCCGAUGCAUUUGCAUCACUCGUGAUUUGUGAAUUUCUCUGGAUGGUUUAGAGGUGUGUGUGUGUGUGUUGGGUGGGGGGAGGUUCAGCAGUGUAAUCUGCUAAGUGUCUCCCACUGCAGAAACAGCAGCACUGAUUCAGCUUAGCCUGAGCAGACCAGGCAAAUCUGCAGUAAUCCUUGCCACAGAACCCAGUCUGACAGUCCCACCAUCUGGAACAGCGCCACUUCGUGCGUACGUACACCCCAUUGAUUACAGAACAUUUCUAUUGCUGUCUUUCUCUGUUUCUGCAGAAAAGCACGCAGCAAAUGGGAACCUCACAGUGAAGCUGUUUCCUGACGGCAUGGAGAUGAUCAUGCUUGGCGAGUUUGGAGAAUAUCAUAUUGCAGAGUUCCUUGGAUGCAAUUAAUGUAUUGCUUCCUAAAGUACCACUUGUGUCAGAGUAGUGGCUCAUGGGAGACCUGGGUUGGAGUCCAGCCUGGGUUAUGUUCCAGUCUCAUUUCUCCAUCUAUCCUCUUGUCUUCUUUUUGUCAAGUGGCAAUAAAAAUGUGGCUAAAAGCUCAUUUAAAUUAUUCAGUUGAAAUGUCAGUAUCCAAACAUAGUAGUUUUGUUCCAAGACCUAGUGAGCUGCCUAUAUAGACAACUACCUAGCAUCCUAACUGAAAUGGAUCCUUAUACAAUAGCAUUCAAAUUUUGGGCUUGUCUUUGAAAUAAGUCUCUUAUGCUCACCAAAGCUGCACUGUAAAAAAUGAUUGUGAUUUUAACAGUAAAAGACUGUAAUAAUGCUGCAGUAAAAACCUGUUAACUGGUUAACAGUAAAUUUCCAUACUAUAUUCGCUGAAUAGAUGUAAUUACAUUUAAUGUGAUUUUACAGUAAAAUACUGUUAAAAAUACAGUUUUUGGAAGUGAAAAAAAGUCAUUGUAUCAUUUACAGUGACAAACCGUAAAUUGACACUCCCAGUAUUCCCUGCAAGAUUUUUUUUGUUGUUGUUGAAAUAACAUGCUUCUUCUUAGUUUUUUUUCUUAUCAGUUGUGUACAUUAGGGUUUAAUCUUACAUCUGAUGUUGUUAAAUUAAUGUUUAUUGCAUUAUUUCAGUAUCGUGUGUCACCAUGAUGGAGUUUAGUGUUUGUGUGAAUGACACUGUGCAACUCCUAUAUAUAAGUUUUGCCCUCCUCAGCUCGUAGAAAAGCUGUUUGUGAUGAGCUUUGGUUCAUCAUGUGACUUUCUCAUCACCACCAGUUUUUGGUGGUUAUCAGUGCAUUACACUGGUUCAAAACAGAUAUUAGUACUUCAAUAUGUUGGUUUAUUAACAUUACAUCAGUUAAUUUAAGUUAAGUCUGUAAAAUCUAAAAUGUUGCUACCAUAUUUUUUACGGUGAAGUUCUUGCCGGUAUUUUACUAUAAAUGUCACUGAUUGUUUUUGUUUUUUUUUACGUUUUGCAUUUGAUCAAAAAUACAAUAAAAAUUGUGAUUUUGUGAAAUAUUACAAAUUAAAACUUUUCUG
ensembl:lncRNA